GCGCGAACUUUAGCGAACUUUCGUUUAUUUACUUGUCACACGAUGUACUUUCGAUAUUUCAUAGUUAGAGCUGGUUAUCUCGUCGUUGCCGGUUACUCGCAUUUUAGAAGGCUUUUGGCAGUUGAGUUGCAGGCCUAUAAUGUAUUGGUGUCUGUCUGAAAAACAAUUAGUACGCCUUUGAACUUCGGUAUAUAAGCAUACGUUGGUCGGCGCUCCGCGUUAUGUCGUGCGUCGUUAUCCUCUUACGAAAUGCAUUCUCUAUUGUUACGGAUUCAUGCAUCGGUUUUUUAUGACUAUUUCGAGUAAAAUCCUCGUAAAUACAGGAGUGUCGGUUCGUGACAAAGUUUAAUUUACCAGAUGCUUGAAAAGGGCCCAAUCCGAAGGGCCGAAACGUCGUAACGUUUCUUGUACAUAUUUUGACAAUUGUAGUCG